rnacentral:snRNA from 1 species
GUACAAAUCUGGGGAGCACAUAGACUCAAAUCGGAAUGAUAAACCAAAGAUAAGCAUGGUGUCUGCACAAGGAUGUAUGCAAAUUCAGGAAGGGACCCUUAUUUUA